rnacentral:misc_RNA from 1 species
CAACCCUCAAGCGCUGUUUCGCUUGGAGUUGGGGCUCUUGCAGCGAGUACCUCCAGUGCUUUGCAAGCCCCGAAAUUCAGCGGCGAGCCCGCCGGCACACCGAGCGCAGUAAAUAUUACUUCUCGUUCAGGGCGUGCGGCGCGGCGCAGCCGGACCUUCUAAAACUUUCCAA